rnacentral:rRNA from 1 species
AGAGUUUGAUCCUGGCUCAGGACUAACGCUGGCGGCGUGCCUAACACAUGCAAGUCGAGCGGGGACAGCCGUAGCAAUAUGGUUGUUUCAGCGGCAGACGGGUGAGUAACGCGUAGACAACGUGCCCUGCAGUGUGGGAUAGCUGUUGGAAACGACAGGUAAUACCACAUUCGCUUGUUCGAGGACAUCCUCGUACAAGGAAAGCAGCAAUGCGCUGGAGGAGCGGUCUGCAUCCUAUUAGCUAGUUGGUGGGGUAAUGGCCUACCAAGGCGACGAUGGGUAGCUGGUCUGAGAGGAUGAUCAGCCACACUGGCACUGAGAUACGGGCCAGACUCCUACGGGAGGCAGCAGUGAGGGAUUUUGCGCAAUGGGCGAAAGCCCGACGCAGCAACGCCGCGUGGAGGACGAAGGCUCUCGGGUUGUAAACUCCUUUCAGCAGGGAAGAAAUUGACGGUACCUGCAGAAGAAGCACCGGCCAACUACGUGCCAACAGCCGCGGUAAUACGUAGGGUGCAAGCGUUGUCCGGAUUCAUUGGGCGUAAAGAGCUCGUAGGCGGCUUAGCAAGUCGGAUGUGAAACCCUCAGGCUCAACCUGGGGAUGCCAUCUGAUACUGCUAUGGCUAGAGUACGGUAGGGGACUACGGAAUUCCUGGUGUAGCGGUGAAAUGCGCAGAUAUCAGGAGGAACACCGGUGGCGAAGGCGGUAGUCUGGGCCGUUACUGACGCUGAGGAGCGAAAGCGUGGGGAGCGAACAGGAUUAGAUACCCUGGUAGUCCACGCCGUAAACGUUGGGCACUAGGUGUGGGGUCUAUUCGACGGACCCCGUGCCGUAGCUAACGCAUUAAGUGCCCCGCCUGGA